UACGUAGGGGGCAAGCGUUGUCCGGAAUCAUUGGGCGUAAAGAGCGUGUAGGCGGUCCGGUAAGUCCGCUGUGAAAGUCGGGGGCUCAACCCUCGAAUGCCGGUGGAUACUGUCGGGCUAGAGUGCGGAAGAGGCGAGUGGAAUUCCUGGUGUAGCGGUGAAAUGCGCAGAUAUCGGGAGGAACACCGGUGGCGAAGGCGGUUCUCUGGGCCUUACCUGACGCUGAGGAGCGAAAGCGUGGGGAGCGAACAGG
rnacentral:rRNA from 1 species